UACGGGGGGAGCAAGCGUUGUUCGGAUUUACUGGGCGUAAAGGGCGCGUAGGCGGCCACUGCAAGUCAGUUGUGAAAUCUCCGGGCUUAACCCGGAAAGGUCAACUGAUACUGCAGGGCUAGAGUGCAGAAGGGGCAACUGGAAUUCUCGGUGUAGCGGUGAAAUGCGUAGAUAUCGAGAGGAACACCUGCGGCGAAGGCGGGUCUCUGGGCCGACUCGACGCUGAGGAGCGAAAGCGUGGGGAGCGAACAGG
rnacentral:rRNA from 1 species